CCUACGGGAGGCAGCAGUGGGGAAUAUUGGACAAUGGGCGAAAGCCUGAUCCAGCCAUGCCGCGUGUGUGAAGAAGGCCUUCGGGUUGUAAAGCACUUUCAGUGGGGAAGAAAGCCUUGGGGCUAAUACCCUCGAGGAAGGACAUCACCCACAGAAGAAGCACCGGCUAACUCCGUGCCAGCAGCCGCGGUAAUACGGAGGGUGCGAGCGUUAAUCGGAAUUACUGGGCGUAAAGCGCGCGUAGGCGGUCUGAUAAGCCGGUUGUGAAAGCCCCGGGCUCAACCUGGGAACGGCAUCCGGAACUGUCAGGCUAGAGUGCAGGAGAGGAAGGUAGAAUUCCCGGUGUAGCGGUGAAAUGCGUAGAGAUCGGGAGGAAUACCAGUGGCGAAGGCGGCCUUCUGGACUGACACUGACGCUGAGGUGCGAAAGCGUGGGUAGCAAACAGGAUUAGAUACCCUAGUAGC
rnacentral:rRNA from 1 species